rnacentral:tRNA from 1 species
UACCGGUUAGCUUAGUGGUAAAGCGUCGGUCUCCAAAACCGAUUACGUGGGUUCGAUUCCCGCACCGGGUG